rnacentral:lncRNA from 1 species
AUUAACCAACCUUCAAAAUAAUCUGUAGUAUGAUACAAACCCAGCUAAUCGAAAAUUACUUGACAUGACGUUACAACUAAAUAAGUUAUAUUUAUGAACAUGAGUUCAGUUCGUACACUAUUGAUAGCACAUACUAUUCACUUUUUCACUAUUAGAUUAUUACUGUUACACCAACCACCCACUCAAUUCUAAGCAUCUAAUGAUGACAGCGUGAGUAGUAUCGUACCAUUAAUAGCACUCCAACGUAGCUCUAUGAGCAUUUAUCUUAACUUGA